AUUGAACGCUGGCGGCAUGCCUUACACAUGCAAGUCGAACGGUAACAGGUCUUCGGAUGCUGACGAGUGGCGAACGGGUGAGUAAUACAUCGGAACGUGCCUAGUAGUGGGGGAUAACUACUCGAAAGAGUGGCUAAUACCGCAUGAGAUCUACGGAUGAAAGCAGGGGAUCGCAAGACCUUGUGCUACUAGAGCGGCCGAUGGCAGAUUAGGUAGUUGGUGGGAUAACAGCUUACCAAGCCGACGAUCUGUAGCUGGUCUGAGAGGACGAUCAGCCACACGGGGACUGAGAACCGGCCCAGACUCCUACGGGAGGCAGCAGGUGGGAAUUUUGGAAAAUGGGCGCAAGCAUGAUCCAGCAAUGCCGCGUGCAGGAUGAAGGCCUUCGGGUUGUAAACUGGUUUUGUACGGAACGAAAAGCCCUGGGUUAAUACCCUGGGGUCAUGACGGUACCGUAAGAAUAAGCACCGGCUAACUACGUGCCAGCAGCCGCCGUAA
rnacentral:rRNA from 1 species